rnacentral:rRNA from 1 species
AUUGAACGCUGGCGGCAGGCCUAACACAUGCAAGUCGAGCGGAUGAAGGGAGCUUGCUCCUGGAUUCAGCGGCGGACGGGUGAGUAAUGCCUAGGAAUCUGCCUGGUAGUGGGGGAUAACGUCCGGAAACGGGCGCUAAUACCGCAUACGUCCUGAGGGUGAAAGUGGGGGAUCUUCGGACCUCACGCUAUCAGAUGAGCCUAGGUCGGAUUAGCUAGUUGGUGGGGUAAAGGCCUACCAAGGCGACGAUCCGUAACUGGUCUGAGAGGAUGAUCAGUCACACUGGAACUGAGACACGGUCCAGACUCCUACGGGAGGCAGCAGUGGGGAAUAUUGGACAAUGGGCGAAAGCCUGAUCCAGACAUGCCGCGUGUGUGAAGAAGGUCUUCGGAUUGUAAAGCACUUUAAGUUGGGAGGAAGGGCAGUAAGUUAAUACCUUGCUGUUUUGACGUUACCAACAGAAAAAGCACCGGCUAACUUCGUG